rnacentral:miRNA from 1 species
CCAGGCUCUGCAGUGGGA